rnacentral:tRNA from 1 species
ACCCCUUCAGUUUCUG